CCCUUGCCUGCCCCGUCUGAGCCACCGGAGAUGGAGUCCGCCCCCCGGACCCCCGGACUCCUGUGCGCGCCCCUCCAUGGUGCUCUAGGCUGUGGAGGACAAGGCCAGUCCCCGGGAGCAGGGUGAGGAAGGGGCCCCCAUGCAGCCCUGCUGUGGAUUGGCAGGAGGACCCCAGGCUGGGCCAACCGAGCAGCCCCCGGCCAGGGGCGGGCAUCCCAGUGGGGACAUCGGCCAGGAGGGGCUGGGGGAACUGGUGCCCUCGCCUGCGCCCCUUGGGCUUUACCUCCGUGCGACAAGAGCGGUGGCUCCGGGCGGGGCCCACGCAGCUGGAGCCUCCAUCUCUCCUGCGGGACCAGAGUACUGGGAAGACCCGGACCGAGACCCAACGUCCCCGCCCCCGUUCUGGGGCUCCCUGCAGGCCCCAACUUCUGCGGGACUCUCCAGUGGGAGCAGCAAGGGUUCUCAGGAACAACCCCUAUACAAACCGGGACAGAGGCACCUCACAACCCCUUAUGUGCCCCGCCUUCUCCACUGACCCUGCCGGAGUGCAGCGCACACAGCAAGCACUUAAUAAAUCACUUGAAGUGGGAAACAUCUGUACUCGGAAAAGAAACCACAGGAAUUGGGAAGUGCCGGUUGAAGAUUAUUUACCAAUUCCAGCAAAAUUGACUGCACCUGCCAUAGGGCAGGCAGGUGCAGCAUCAGGAGCUGGAGACCAGGGGCAACAGGCAGCACGCAUGCUCCAGCUCAGAGUGGAAGGCCCUGGGAAAUGGUUUGAUUUCCUGCGCUGAACUGAUGCUGCUUCCAGAAUGAAUCUGCUCCUUGGUGGGUUCUGCUGAUGUGGCCAGUGCUAGCCUAGGCCACAACCACCCAGCCCAACACCCAGAAGCCAGCAUCCCCUGCUCCUGCUUUAACAGGCUGGCCCAUUUUCAUCUCUCCUACCUCUGGGAGUAGCAGGGGCGCUCCCGGAAGCUGACACCCCCUCCACAGGUCCGGCUGCAGGGGCUCCACUGGCCCCAGGGUCCCCAGGUGUCACUCUGCCGCCUCACCUUGGGAGCCUGCAGAAGACAGGACCAUGCAUCAGCAUUGCCCACUCAGAGCCUGAGCCCAGAGGCCCCUCCAAAGAUGCUCUGCCUAAAACCCUCCCCCACCCAUCAAGGAGUCUGGGAUUCUCCCUUCCAGGGCCCGCCUUUAGAACUCAGCAACACUGCCGGGCACCCCAAAACAUAUUACUUUUCAGAAUUAGCCUGCUUUCCUGAUAAGGAGCUGAGAGCCAGGCCUGGAGGGCGGGAGCAGGAGCAGCUGCGAAGAGUUUGGAGUUUCAGGGGCCACUGGAGGGAGGGGCCCUACAGCCAGGGGCGGUUUGAGGGUCCAGGCAUUUGUAGGUUAACUGUGAUGUAGGGGAGGGGGCCCUAAAAGAAAAUAAACGGAAGCAACAUGGGGGGAUCCUGCUAAUCUGGCAGAGACUCCCAGGAGUAGUACCCCAAUAUUCAUCCCCUCCUUCUCCCAUUGUGAGAGAACCCUUGAAAACUUGACUCAGCUGGGUCCCUGGUUGCCCAAAAUUUAAAAAAAUACAUUUCCUAGACUUCCUGCAGCUAACUGUGGCUACGUCACUUAGUUCUCAUCAGUGAGAUGUAAAUACAAGUGUUGGGCAGCUGCCGCAAAUAAUCUCCUUAAGAGAGAGCCUGCAUGAGCCUUUGUCCUUUUCUCCUUCCUCCUGUACUCUUUCAGGCUGUCUGGGAAGCAGAGGUGAUGGCUGGAGUUGGAGCAGCCUUUUAGACUGUGAGGUAACUUGGAAAUAGAGGCUUCAAACAGUGAAGCAAAGAUAGAGAGACUCUAGAGCCUGGAGGAUUUUGUGCAACAGAAUAGCCCCAGACUUCUGACCCCUGGCUGUUUAUAUGAGAGAGGAAUCAUGUCUGUCUUAUUGAAGAACUGUUAUUUGGGGCUCCACGCAGGAUUGUAAUCCUAGCAGAUACACCUUCCCACCAGAAAGAUUGGACCCCUUGCAGCUGGCAUCAGGAAUCCACAUGCCACACACACAUUAUCUCAUUUCAUCCUCACAACAACCCCACAGACCCCAUUGCAUGAAUAAGAAAAGUGAGGCAGAGAGAGGAAACCACACAGUAGCCGGCCAGCCUCACUGCAGGCCUCUGCUCCCCCUGCCGGGGCUGUGCCCCCACCCACCUGGGGGAAUCAAAUGAGACACUAGAUGAUUCCCUACAGGGUUGGCCAGGGAUUAGAUGUAACUUCACAAUUUUGCCAGGAGGCAUACGGUGUACAUGCAAACAUUUGCUGGAAGGGGACUUUCUUUUAGGGUAUCACCACUUAAGACUCUCAAGGAAAAAUACCAUUCCCACUUUUCAGAUAAAGAGCUCAAUGGUCACAUAGAAAAGCGGCCGGGCGUGGUGGCUCAUUCCUGUAAUCCCAGCACUUUGGGAGGCCAAGGCAGGCAGAUCACCUGAGGUCAGGAGUUCGAGACCAGCCUGCCCAACAUGGUGAAACCCCGUCUCUGCUAAAACUACAAAAAAAUUAGCCAGGCGUGGUGGUGGGUGCCUGUAAUCCCAGCUACUUGGGAGGCUGAGGCAGGAGAAUUGCUUGAACCCGGGAGGCGGAGGUUGCAGUGAGCCGAGAUUGCGCCACUGCACUCCAGCCUGGGCGACAGGGCGAGACUCCAUCUCAAAAAAAGAAAAGAAAAGCAGGCUCUUCCUUUCAUGAUCCCUGAGCAGCUUCACUGGAUCUCAGGUGAGGAAGGACGUUUACUCAUCUCUAACAUUCCUGGUGCCAAACAUCUAGUUAUCCUUGUCUUAUAACAAAACCCAGAACACUGAAGCAGAACAAACCAUGCACAAAGCACGCUACGCCUGCCGAACCACACACAACCAAGAAGGAAGGGCUUGCCAGAUGGAAGGUCUUAGCUUUCACUUUGUAAAAUCAUCUACUCCUUCAAGUCUAACUUGGACAAAAAUCUCUAAGCUUUCAAAACCACUGAGCCAAAAUAUCAAAAUGUUCUCUGAAUGAAAGUUAAACCGAAAUUUA
rnacentral:antisense_RNA from 1 species